CUGUUUCAAAAAAACAAAAAAAAAGUUUCCUUUUCUCCCUAGCAGGCCCAGAAUCCGGCCAAACUCCAGCGUGGCAACUGUGCCGGCCGCCGAUCGUCUGCGCCGGCGCCGCCGUGCACUGCGGCGGGGAGUCAAAAAGCCUCUUUUUUUAACCCGUUUUAGAUCCCCUUCAAAAGCCAAACAUCUUUGACCCAAAAAGACGACUCUUGGCCCCCCCUUUAUCCUCUCGGAUCCGACGGCCACGAAGGAGGAGAGCCCUCCGACGGCAAACUCGAAAGGCGUUUCAGGUGAGCCCCCGCUCCCUUUUGUUUCUUAUUUAUUAUAUGUAAAAAAAAAAAGAAAACAAACAGAAAGAGCAAACAAAGGGAAAAAAAAACGAAUCUAAGAAAAAAACCUCUGUUUUGUAUUCUGUUUUUUCAAAUCUUUUUUCCUUCGUAUUUUCCCUUCUAUUUUCGUAUCUCUUUACACCGAAUUCCCCCUCUUUAUUUACAGAUUUCCUAAGGCUUUUAUAGCCCGAAAAAGAAAAACUAAAUCGAAUCUAUUUCGCUGUUUUUUCUUUUGGGACUCUUUAAGUCCGCAUUUUUGCAGGUGUGAGAGCACGUGGAAGUGACGGCUCCGAGACGUGCGGUGGCUGGAGGCCUUGCUGGAGGCGUUGGGCAGGCAUGCGGCGCUGAACCGAACAUGGGGCUAGGGUUUGGGUAAUUUGGGCUGUUAGGUGGGCUAGGUUUUGGACUAUUGGGCCUGGACGGCCCAUUUUUUGUUUGGUAAAUAGUCUGGGCCAAUUGGGCCUUAUUACAAAUAUAAUUUAAUACGAUAAACUUGAAUUGGUAAUUUACUUGUUUAAGUCCUUAAAAUU
rnacentral:lncRNA from 1 species